GACGAACGCUGGCGGCGUGCUUAACACAUGCAGGUCGAACGGAAAGGCCCUGCUUUUGUGGGGUGCUCGAGUGGCGAACGGGUGAGUAACACGUGAGUAACCUGCCCUUGACUUUGGGAUAACUUCAGGAAACUGGGGCUAAUACCGGAUAGGAGCUCCUGCUGCAUGGUGGGGGUUGGAAAGUUUCGGCGGUUGGGGAUGGACUCGCGGCUUAUCAGCUUGUUGGUGGGGUAGUGGCUUACCAAGGCUUUGACGGGUAGCCGGCCUGAGAGGGUGACCGGCCACAUUGGGACUGAGAUACGGCCCAGACUCCUACGGGAGGCAGCAGUGGGGAAUACUGCACAAUGGGCGGAAGCCUGAUGCAGCAACGCCGCGUGCGGGAUGACGGCCUUCGGGUUGUAAACCGCUUUCGCCUGUGACGAAGCGUGAGUGACGGUAAUGGGUAAAGAAGCACCGGCUAACUACGUG
rnacentral:rRNA from 1 species